rnacentral:rRNA from 1 species
GACGAACGCUGGCGGCGUGCUUAACACAUGCAGGUCGAACGGAAAGGCCCUGCUUUUGUGGGGUGCUCGAGUGGCGAACGGGUGAGUAACACGUGAGUAACCUGCCCUUGACUUUGGGAUAACUUCAGGAAACUGGGGCUAAUACCGGAUAGGAGCUCCUGCUGCAUGGUGGGGGUUGGAAAGUUUCGGCGGUUGGGGAUGGACUCGCGGCUUAUCAGCUUGUUGGUGGGGUAGUGGCUUUCCAAGGCUUUGACGGGUAGCCGGCCUGAGAGGGUGACCGGCCACAUUGGGACUGAGAUACGGCCCAGACUCCUACGGGAGGCAGCAGUGGGGAAUAUUGCACAAUGGGCGGAAGCCUGAUGCAGCAACGCCGCGUGCGGGAUGACGGCCUUCGGGUUGUAAACCGCUUUCGCCUGUGACGAAGCGUGAGUGACGGUAAUGGGUAAAGAAGCACCGGCUAACUACGUG